rnacentral:sRNA from 1 species
AGCCAUUUGCCGCGGACGGACAUUCCAUGCGCCGAGUGAGAUUUCCUUCUAGGUGACCUGUGACACAAACAGCUCUGUAACUUCAAAUUUGUGGAACAGUGGCAGAGAAAGGAUUGCAGGAUUUCAUCUCAAACAGAAAAAAAAAAAAGAUCACAGGGUUUCCAUUUUCCCUAUGUCAUGGGAUGAAUGGAUGCUGUACAGUUCAGUGAGCUCCUCAGAUAUUGGCCGGGUUGUUUUAUGUUGUGUCAUCUGUGAGUAUUGUAAUGUAGCCCCCAAAAUUCUAAGGCCAUCUUGAUUUUCACACAAAAACAUUUGUGUGGCAGUGCCAUUUUGGUUUCUCCUGUAGUCCUGUGUUGCUCCCAUGUAAUCUGUAGAUGUUUUUUCCCCCUUCAAAACAAUAUAGAUCUUUGAAUGCCCAUGAUUUCAUUUCAGAGAAACAUGC